CUAUUCCGACUAACCACAGGGACCAAACUGUAAUUACAAAAUGCCUGGUAUUCGUCCUUCCCUGCUAUUUCGUGCCAACCAAACAGAACUGUGAAGUGCGGAAGAUCAAUCUUUUUCGUGGCAGCGAGAACCGAAGAUAAGCGAUGGUGAUUCGAUUUCGAAAGGAAAUGGUUUUGAUUUGAUGAAUGAAUUCGAGCUCAUUUUGGAGUUCGAUCCUCUGAUAUAAGCAAAUAUCGUGCUUAUAUGCAUUCAUGGAGGCAGACAAUAUAAGAGUCUUGAGAAUUUGCCUGGUGCAUCUGGUGAUGAGAUUGAUACGCGUAGGUAUUCAUCUCUUGAAAGUGAGGUCAUGAAGCAUAGCAAGGCGCUUUGGUUGCUAAGCUGUGAUUUUGGCACUGCAUCUGCAUGGCGGUGGUUGAUCAAGAUGAUUACUGGAAAAUGUCAGCUAUCAACAGACUGCAGGGAAAGAAUCUGAGCUAGUGGAAAAAUUAGCUGAGAUGUAAAUUCAGUUCAGGAAUUGAACUAUUAAUUAAUGAAGAUUCAAAAACUUUUCAUAGUUUUAGUUAAUAUUAUAUUCUCAUAUCAGUUGCAUUUUUUGUUCAUGUUACAGCACCCUUUGCUAGGACAUCACCAAUAGGCUAAAUAACUGCAGACUUUCAAUGAUAGUGGUUAUACAAACAAAUUUUAUGAGCAUAUCUUCCAGUGGAAGUCUACAAUGGCCAUAAAAGGGGAUAUAUAAGUGUACAAGUUGACGUUUCUCUUGAGUAGGUUUUCUGUACUGCACAGUUUUUGGAUGCAUUCUCUAUAUUAAAAUGAUGCCAUGGAGAAAGUGGUAUUAAUGUGAUGUUCACUUUUUUGCGGAGAUCCAAAUGAACUACAGACUACAGAGCAUGGAAUCAUUGCUGCUGGUUGGUUACAUGACAAGAGAACAGGUUAGUUUGUACUUUGUAAGGUCAUUCACUUGUAUGAAUGCUUUUAGAGUGCCAUGGUAUAGAGUGUUUCCCCCUUUAGAAAAACCCUAUUAACAAAAUCAUGAUGAAGGCAGUUUUUGUAUAAGUUUAUGUUACCUUUUACUCUCAAACUAUCACUCUAGAAAAACUGUCUUGACUUUUUCUUUCUGGUUUUGAUCAGUUUCCCUUUGAUUAGGUUCUUAUUAAUCUAGAAAAAUAUGAUUUUUAAGAUCUUGAUGGUUCUUCUGAAUUAUAUAAACCAAAUUUUGUGCCUUCAGGUGCUGCUUUCAACAAAUUUUGGGCUGGGUUACAUGUUGCUGACAAUUAUUGGUUUCAUUAUUGUGCAGUGAGUUCUCAUCUUAAAUUGAAUUAUGUAGAGCAAGAUAAAAAUAAAAAUAAAAAUAAAUUAAAAAAAGGGACAAUGAGGUUGUAAUAAAGCUACUGUCUUUUAUCAGACAGUUGCAGCCUACAUAUGUUGUUGGUUUUAGGAUAUUUUGCAUAGGAACUUGGAUAUCUUUAUGUAGCAUGACUUAUCAGAUUCUUGUGGCAUUACUUAUUAUUGAAAUAGCCAACCUAUUGACAGUAGCAAGCUGACCUUUUGUUGGAGUAGAAUAGCCAUUAUAGCACUUUCUACGAAAUCAAACAUGAUGUAAUCUUUCACAGCAAUAAUAACUAUGUUGAAAUUCAAUAUAUCAUUUAAAUUUUUAUGAUAUUUCCCAUGUCCAUCACAAUUUGAGUUCUUGCCAAAUUGCAGCUACUAAUGCUAAGGAGUUUAGAUGAGGUACUUAGGAUAACAAUAUUCAUGACUUAUUCACAAUAUUCUUUAUGGGCAAGAACACCUUCACUGUUCCAUCUUUGAAAUCUAUUUAUGUGUGGUAUUGCCUGGUAGAUCCAGGAAGGAUUCCUGGCAUUCUAUCAUCUCAAUUCACAAGCUCAAUAGCUGGCCUUACGUUGUGAUAAUACGUUUUGAGUAUUGAUGCACUUGUUUUAGAUAUUUUCCCCUAAUCUCUUUGAUAAAAAGGAUAAAAAAAAUAGAUUUUUCUAUGGGAAUUUUCAGUGGUCUUUAAACCACCAGAGUCAACUUCAAAUGGCAUUUUAUUUGAAUUACAGGCUAUGUAGCUCUAUCAUGGGUUCCUUUCCCUGUUCUGGAUAAGGCAUUUUGCAACUAAUCUUGGUGAUGUAACUAACCAAUCCAAGCAUAAGUAAAGCAUAGUUGAUGACAUCAAUAUCUUUUUGGAUAAUGAGUUGCAUCUUAUAAAUUCUUGCUCAAUUAUACCUGACAACAAGUUUGAAGAUUUUCAAGCACAAGCAAUACAUGCUGCUACUUACAUGUUAUGGUUGACAAAGGCUGUGGUGUUUCUCUUCAAUUAUCCAAUGUUGUAAGACGUUUCUUUUCUUAAGGUAUUAAUUGAAUACUUACGCCGCUGGUUUUGUGCAUCGGCAAAUUCCCAAGUUCAGGAGAUUGAACUCAAAAAGAAGCAAAAUGCUGGAAGCUUGAAGACCAUGCUAAUUGCUGCAUGAAGCUUGUCCUGAAAGAUCCUCACUCUAGUGCAGCUGCCUACCUGGAAGCAUCUAACCUGUGGUUUGAAUGAGAAUAGAUGAUAACUUUGAUGGAUAUCAGUGUCCAAAAGUUUUUGGUUGAGUUUCAUGUUGUCAAACUAUGAGUACUUUCAGUUAGUAUAGGAAAGUGCUGUGAAACAUAUGAAAUGUCGAUGUUAAGUUCUUACAAAGGGCAAUGUCUUCCUUGUUGAAUUAGCAUCUAUGUGAAUUAGAGCGGAUAGCAAUUAAGCAUAAAUGAAAGAUUGCAAGUUGAACUCA